UAGGGAAUUUUCGGCAAUGGACGGAAGUCUGACCGAGCAACGCCGCGUGAGUGAAGAAGGUUUUCGGAUUGUAAAGCUCUGUUGUUAGAGAAGAACGUUGGUAGGAGUGGAAAAUCUACCAAGUGACGGUAACUAACCAGAAAGGGACGGCUAACUACGUGCCAGCAGCCGCGGUAAUACGUAGGUCCCGAGCGUUGUCCGGAGUUAUUGGGCGUAAAGCGAGCGCAGGCGGUUCUUUAAGUCUGAAGUUAAAGGCAGUGGCUUAACCAUUGUACGCUUUGGAAACUGGAGGACUUGAGUGCGGAAGGGGAGGGUGGAAUUCCAUGUGUAGCGGUGAAAUGCGUAGAUAUAGGGAGGAACACCGGUGGCGAAAGCGGCUCUCUGGUCUGUAACUGACGCGGAGGCUCGAAAGCGUGGGGAGCAAACAGG
rnacentral:rRNA from 1 species